rnacentral:lncRNA from 1 species
CAGGAAGAUGUUUUCUUUUUUUUUCCCUUUCCCACUAUCCACCUUGGCCACAUCUGAAGAGUAUCGGAGAAUGUGCCAUUCUUAUAUGCUAAGUAGCCUCUUCAGCCUGGUUCCUGCUCAUGGAAUCUUGGGGCUCAAAGGAUUGUUUUAAAUUUUGAAGGCAGUUUCUUUUAGUCCAGGCUGGUAGCAUUUUGAUUCCAGUCAGUGAUACCCAUAAUUCCUUUUUAGACAUUGCCCAUAUUUCAAGACUUACCUGUCUCUUUAGACUUAAUUGCUGUCAUUUUAGCCAAAUGUAAGGAUUUACUGAAGUCCACCUUAGUACAGUCAGAGGUUUUGGCUGGGUACGGUGACUCAUGCCUGUAAUCCUAGGAUUUUGG